rnacentral:rRNA from 1 species
AUUGAACGCUGGCGGCAGGCCUAACACCUGCAAGUCGAGCGGAGCGGCGGACGGGUGAGUAACGCCUAGGAAUCUGCCUGGUAGUGGGGGAUAACGUCCGGAAACGGGCGCUAAUACCGCAUACUAUCAGAUGAGCCUAGGUCGGAUUAGCUCGUUGGUGGGUUAAAGGCCUACGCAGGCGACGAUCCGUAACUGGGCUGAGAGGAUGGUCAGUCACACUGGAACUGAGACACGGUCCAGACUCCUACGGGAGGCAGCAGUGGGGAGUAUUGGACAAUGGGCGAGAGCCUGAGCCAGCCAUGCCGCGUGUGUGAAGAAGGUCUUCGGAUUGUAAAGCACUUUAAGUUGGGAGGCGUUACCAACAGAAUAAGCACCGGCUAGCUGCGGGCCAGCAGCCGCGGUAAUUC